rnacentral:rRNA from 1 species
AUUGAACGCUGGCGGCAGGCCUAACACAUGCAAGUCGAGCGGAAACGAGUUAAUCUUGAACCUUCGGGGGACGAUAACGGACGGUCGAGACGGCGGACGGGUGAGUAAUGCCUAGGAAAUUGCCCUGAUGUAGGGGGAUAACCAUUGGAAACGAUAGGCUAAUACCGCAGUAAACGCCUACGGGCCAAAGAGGGGGAACCUUCGGGCCUCUCGCGUCAGGAUAUGCCUAGGUGGGAUUAGCUAGUUGGUGAGGUAAUGGCUCACCAAGGCGACGAUCCCUAGCUGGUCUGAGAGGAUGAUCAGCCACACU